rnacentral:rRNA from 1 species
GACAGAGGGGGCAAGCGUUGCUCGGAAUUACUGGGCGUAAAGGGCGCGUAGGCGGGAUGGCAAGUCGGUCGUGAAAUCCUUCGGCUCAACCGAAGACCGUCGAUCGAUACUGCUGUUCUUGAGGGUUGCAGAGGAGACUGGAAUUCCCGGUGUAGCGGUGAAAUGUGUAGAGAUCGGGAGGAACACCGGUGGCGAAGGCGGGUCUCUGGGCAAUUCCUGACGCUGAGGCGCGAAAGCGUGGGGAGCAAACGGG